AUUGAACGCUGGCGGCAUGCUUUACACAUGCAAGUCGAACGGUAACAGGCCGCAAGGUGCUGACGAGUGGCGAACGGGUGAGUAAUGCAUCGGAACGUGCCCAGUCGUGGGGGAUAACUACUCGAAAGAGUAGCUAAUACCGCAUACGAUCUAUGGAUGAAAGCGGGGGACCGUAAGGCCUCGCGCGAUUGGAGCGGCCGAUGUCAGAUUAGGUAGUUGGUGGGGUAAAGGCUCACCAAGCCAACGAUCUGUAGCUGGUCUGAGAGGACGACCAGCCACACUGGGACUGAGACACGGCCCAGACUCCUACGGGAGGCAGCAGUGGGGAAUGUUGGACAAUGGGCGCAAGCCUGAUCCAGCAAUGCCGCGUGCAGGAAGAAGGCCUUCGGGUUGUAAACUGCUUUUGUACGGAACGAAACGGCUCUGGUUAAUACCCGGGGCUAAUGACGGUACCGGAAGAAUAAGCACCGGCUAACUACGUG
rnacentral:rRNA from 1 species